GGAGGUAUAGCUCAGUGGUAGAGCACUUGUCUACCAUAAAAGAAGCUCUGGUUUCAAUCCCCAGUACUGCAA
rfam:Ictidomys tridecemlineatus contig095399, whole genome shotgun sequence.